GCUUGAUUGAGCAACUGCAUUAAGUGCUUAUUGAAUUUUAGUUGAGGCAUCCUAAGGGGUCAGUUUGAAAGUUUGAUGAACAGUUAGAAUUUUUAAAGCUUGGAGUCCAAAACAUGUACGCACAUCAUCAGUUUGUGAACUAAUGUUACACUUCUCUUCAGAUAGUAAAUUGGAAUUUUUCAAGAACCAGGAAGUAGAUAGAGACAAUGAAGAUAAGGAUUUGCACAAAAAGUAGAAAGAAUUAUCAAAUUAACAAUGAUUAACAUACAAUUAUGCAUAUUCUUUAGAGGAACAGAAAAAAAUUACCCAGUUUG
rnacentral:misc_RNA from 1 species